UGGGGGAUAUUGCACAAUGGGGGAAACCCUGAUGCAGCGACGCCGCGUGAGUGAAGAAGUAUUUCGGUACGUAAAGCUCUAUCAGCAGGGAAGAAAAAAAUGACGGUACCUGACUAAGAAGCCCCGGCUAACUACGUGCCAGCAGCCGCGGUAAUACGUAGGGGGCAAGCGUUAUCCGGAUUUACUGGGUGUAAAGGGAGCGUAGACGGCUGUGCAAGUCUGAAGUGAAAUGCCGGGGCUCAACCCCGGAACUGCUUUGGAAACUGUACAGCUAGAGUGCAGGAGGGGUGAGCGGAAUUCCUAGUGUAGCGGUGAAAUGCGUAGAUAUUAGGAGGAACACCGGUGGCGAAGGCGGCUCACUGGACUGUAACUGACGUUGAGGCUCGAAAGCGUGGGGAGCAAACAGG
rnacentral:rRNA from 1 species